GCCAGGCAUGGUGGUGCAUGCCUGUAAUCCCAGCUACUUGGGAGGCUGAGGCAGGAGAAUCGCUUGAGCCCAGGAGGCGGAGGUUGUGGUGAGUGGAGAUUGUGCCACUGCCCUCCAGCCUGGGCAACAGAGCGAGACUCCAUCUCAA
rnacentral:SRP_RNA from 1 species